rnacentral:lncRNA from 1 species
GCGUUAAUUGUAAAUUCAAUUCCAUUUGAACAACUUUUCUAGAAAACAAAUUUCUUUACAUAAAACAGAUUACAUAGACGGUAUUGCCCUCAUAGUCCAGGUAAAGACACCGCUCUUUUCUUCACAUCCAGAUGUUACGGUCGAGUCUUGCGAAUUUUCCAAAAGAUGUCCCUAUUUUCCUUUUUGCUUUAUCCAGGCUGCAACCUACUGUUCACCUAUCCCCGCAAUGAUCCUUAGCUCCUUUAAGAAAGUUGACGUGACGGCUCUCGAACAAUCUUUAUUAUCUUGAAUUCUUGGCCAAAGAAACAUAGUUGCGUAAUCCUUCACGAACUAUCUGCUUUCUCUCGUUGUGCUUAUUUGGACUAUAUUCGGGCGAUCGUAUUAUAAUCUAUUUUAUCAAGAAAUCCAUUUUCCAUGAAAGACUCUCCAUUUAGCAACCGAAUAUGAAUCAACACCCCCUUUCUAUGACGAUGAAAUGCAAUGCAGUCAUAGACAAAACAAAGCACGUUAGUACAAGAGAGAGAAAAAAACAAUAUAGAACGCCUAUCUUGAUGACCUAGAAUUUAGCGUUGCUCUACCUAGGACAGGCUCCUAGGCCUCUCUAUAUGUGGUUCAGUUCUAAAGAAAGGGUAUUUGAACUAGCAGAUUCCGCAAUCCUCACCUAUUAUAGGCUCAUAUGGAUCGAGUUCAGUUCAGGGGAAUACAUUUCCCUAUGGCUAUGCAGAGAUGAAAAUCUCACGAAGACAUAGGUACGGAUGUAUCCUGGAAGUAAUCCACUAGCCCAUGCGGAGGUGAAAACCUCACGUAGACAUAGUUUCUUACUCUCACUUAAAAGGUGUGACCACAACGGUCAUGCAAUACAAUGCGAGACUCAGUCCACACAAUCAUAAGGAUCACAAACAAAUGCAACAAAAGAAUCGUGAUUUUCGAAUCAAAUUUUCAAGUUUCGACAAAAGGAUAGAAAAUAAUCAAUUUUACGACUUGACUCUCUUAUAGUCCCCAGUGGAAUCGCCAAGCUGUUGAAACCAUUUUUAAAAUUUUGAAAAAACGGGGAUCGACUUUAAAGCGAAAUGUGGAGUCGCCACCAAUCCUUUUUGUUUAGGUGUGAUCGGAUCACCUAAUAACAUAUUUUAUUAAAAUAUUAAUUUUGGCCUACGAAAUAAAAAAAAUGGGUUUGGGAGCCGGUUACAUACGAGGAAGGAUUAGCACCCUCGUUACGCCCAAAAUUGGUACCUAAUUGAUUAAAUAAUGUCCUUAUGUCUAAAAUUAAAAAAGAUUUUGAAAUACGGUUUCUUUUAAAACAUUUGAAAAACUCAAAUUGGAUGUUAAAAUUCUCUUACUACGAAGGAAUAAAAUAUCACAUCCAGUACGUUAGGACAUGCCCUUUUAAACCCUCGAAACCAAAAUCGACUCUUGAUCUUCAAAAAUCAGGCAUUGAAAAUUACAAAAGGAUAUUCAGUUAUUUGGUCCAACGAAGAACCGAAAUCCAGCACGUUAGGGAACGAUUUCUUGGUUUUCCAAACACAGAGCAUUGCCUUAUCUUGAAGUUAAGAAGACACAAGCGAAAUCUUAAAAGAACGUUUGGUUAUUUAGUCAAAUGGAAAAUCGAAACCCAACACGCUAGGGCACGAUUUCUCGAAUUUUCAAACAUUAAACAUUGCAUUUAUUUUGAGAAAUUUUCAAAUAGGGGUGAUUAUAAAAACAGAAUAAAAACAGACUUGAGAUACACUUAUUUAAUUUGCUUGAAAUAAAAAUGAAAUGAUCAAUUUUGGACAAGUCACUAGAAUUUAAAUCACAAUGCAAUAAUAAGAAGUAUUAGCAUAGUAUCGAGUAUGAAAUAAUAUGUGAGUUCAACAUUACACAAACGAAUAGCAGUGAUAACAAUACGAACAUACAAUUCGAAAUACACAAAGCGAUAAUCUCACAAUUCUAUUUUAAGAACUAACAUUAAUAAUCAAAGACUAAUGAAUUAAAAGUCAUAUAUAACAAUUUAAAAAUACAAAGCAAAUUGAAAUAGAAUAAAAAUAAUUCAAAAAUGAUAACAAAUGAAUUCAAAAAAAUAUAAUGUGAGGAAGGAAUUUGAAAAUCAAUAAAAUACAAAAUGAUUCAAAAAUAGACGAUAUAUCACAAAAUUUAAGAUAAUAUAUAAGUUUAAAAUAAACAAUAUAUAUAAAAACUUAAAAUAGAUAAUAUAUGAAAUAAUUUGAAAUGAUAUAAAAUAAAACGAUUUAAAAUAAACAUUAUAUAAAACAAUUUAAAAUACUGUGUAAAAACUUGUAAUAAAUAAAUAAAAUGCAAAUUUGAAAAAAUAAAUCUAUAUAUAAAAAAUAAUAAUUAAAUAAACAAAUAAAUAAAUAUUAAAUAAAUCAAUUUAAUAACAUGAAAAUAAUAGUAGUAACACAAAUGAUAAUAAUCAAUAUAUCAAAUAUAAUAAUAAUAGUAAUAAUAAUGUUGAAAUAAUUAAUUUUAAUAAUAUAAUAAUAAUGAUAAUAAUACAAUAAUAAUAAGAUUGAAAAUAAUAAUAAUAAUAAAUUAAUAAAAACAUAAGUAACAAUGAAAUUCACCAAAUAAAGAAAUGAAUAAUCUAUUUAGUGUGAAAGAAUGAAGAAAUAAAUAAAAAAAGUGAAAAUAUGGAAAUUAAGUGGCCCAGGAUUCAAUUGCAAUCUGGGCAGCAUUGGGGUGAAUUUUCAAAAAUAAAAAACAUGUUCGAUUAAGGGACCAAAAUGAAACACGCGCAAAAGUACGCGGAUCGAAAUGGGAAUACUCCCGCACCAUUGAAACAGCGCCGUUUUAACAAGUACCAAAACGUAACUGAAAUAAAACAUUAGGCAAAAUUUAAAAGAUGUAACCAUGAAUUGAUUUGAAAGGACCAGAAAGGAGGAGGGACCAUUUGCACAAUUUUCUCUGAGAGUAGAAACACGCGGAUCCUUUCCCCCUUGAAUGGCGCCGUUUCAUUAGUUGUUAAAGCUGAAAAAAAAUUUCUUUGAAAAAGUUAUCUGUCAUUUUCUAAAGAAUAGCCAUUAUCCCUACUAGGGUUUCUGCCUCUCAAAGGCUACCCUUCAAUGCUCGCUACACCACCACAUUUGGUGGCCAACGCGUAAAACAUGGCCUAGAUCUGACAACGGAGGAGAACUCCGACCAUGAUCACGAAGGUUAGGUAAGCGUUCCUUUCUUUCCUUUUUAUUUUUAUUUUUACACAUUAACAACAAUAGAAGAAGAUAAAAAUAAAAAAUAAAAGAUCUAGAUGAAAACAACUUUAAAUCUGCUUUAAAAAAUAAGAGGGAUAGAUCUAUGAAAACGAAAAGGGUUUCAAUACUCCCUUUUAUUUUUUUGCAAUCACAAAGCAAAUCUACACUUGAAAUCAAACGAAAGCAAGAUAAAUUGAAAAAAAUAAACUCAACCUUCUGCUAAAUUUAUUUGAUUUCUCUGUAUUCCAAUAUGCAUGUGUAUCCUCCCCUUUCUUUCUUUAGAAUCGGCCUUAUAUAACCGAAAAAAUGAACAAAAAAUGAAAUUACAAUAUCAUUUUUAUAUUUUCUAUUAUUUCUUUGCUAUUGAAUUUCUUGUUUUUUUGUCGUUUUUUGGCUUCUUCUAGCAGGUUCUACUGACGUGGGGAGUGCCGUAUGGAGGAAGAGGACAUAGUGACGUGGGGGCCGUUUGUGGGAGCUGCGACUCAAGGGGUAACCUAGGGUUUUUGCCGAAAAUUGGCUUGGUGUUUUAGGCCGUUUGGGUUAAUUGGAUGUAAUGGAAUUUUGGGUUAAAUUUUAUUAUUGGGC